UGCGAUGAGUCGAGAGGUCAGGGAACCGACCCUUAUUUGGUUCCCCCGUGCGAACGGAAAUGAUUCUCGAGUGGGGCACGUAACCUACCGGAUUGUAGGGUGCCUGGUCCAGCUGGUAGUGGACGACC
rnacentral:ncRNA from 35 species